rnacentral:rRNA from 1 species
UACGUAGGGGGCGAGCGUUGUCCGGAGUUACUGGGCGUAAAGGGCGUGCAGGCGGUGCAGUAAGUUUGGAGUGACAGUACCCGGCUCAACUGGGUAAGGCCUUCGAAAACUGCUGGACUUGAGGGCCAGAGAGGGACAUAGAAUUCCGGGUGGAGUGGUGAAAUGCGUAGAUAUCCGGAGGAAUACCAAAGGCGAAGGCAGUGUCCUGGCUGGCAUCUGACGCUGAGGCGCGAAAGCUAGGGGGAGCGAACAGG